GACGAACGCUGGCGGCGUGCUUAACACAUGCAAGUCGAACGGAAAGGCCCUGCUUUUGUGGGGUGCUCGAGUGGCGAACGGGUGAGUAACACGUGAGUAACCUGCCCUUGACUUUGGGAUAACUUCAGGAAACUGGGGCUAAUACCGGAUAGGAGCUCCUGCUGCAUGGUGGGGGUUGGAAAGUUUCGGCGGUUGGGGAUGGACUCGCGGCUUAUCAGCUUGUUGGUGGGGUAGUGGCUUACAAAGGCUUUGACGGGUAGCCGGCCUGGGGGGGUGUCCGGCGACAUAGGUACUGAGAUACGGCCCAGCUUCGACAGGGAGGAAGCAGGGAGGCAAAUUGCAGAAUGGGAGAAAGCCUAAGACGGAGACGCCGCGUCGGGGAGAAAGGCCUUAGGAUUGGAAAACGCUUUCGCCUGUAACAAGGAGUGAGUGAGGGUAAUGGGUAAAGAAACACCGGCUAACUACGGG
rnacentral:rRNA from 1 species